UCCGGAGGCGGUGACUUUCCGCUCCACUUCCCCCCCACCUCAAAAGAGGAGGUCGGCGCCGAGGACGCAGGCACGCCUUUUAAUAAAGCGCUGUGGGUGCAACGAGUUAGCGAGGCGAACGGGAAGAAAGGAAGGUCCCGUCGCGCUCCGAUUGGACGCCUAGGAGGAGCGCCUUGCUGAGGUUUAGCAGCGGCGACAUUUCAAAAUGAUAGAAGAGUUGGAGGUGAGCAAUCUAUCAUUAACGCUUCAAGAAAGUAUGACGAAAGUUAAGUAUCUUUGGACAACACAAGUCUGUUUGCCACUGGAGUAGCAUGAACUCAGUUAUUAUUAAUCAGAAAAACUGCUCACUGAAAGCAACACAGCCAAACAAAAAUAAAACAUCAUAUGAAAACAGAUUAUAAAAACAUUGUUGCAGUUUACCCUUAUUUUGCUAUAUAGAUUAAAAUUAAAUUAUUAAAUGUAACUGGCAUAUUUACUUUUUGUUGAAUCCUGACUCUAAUUAAACUAUUAAUUUUGUUU